rnacentral:rRNA from 1 species
UACGAAGGGGGCUAGCGUUGCUCGGAAUCACUGGGCGUAAAGGGUGCGUAGGCGGGUCUUUAAGUCAGGGGUGAAAUCCUGGAGCUCAACUCCAGAACUGCCUUUGAUACUGAGGAUCUUGAGUCCGGAAGAGGUGAGUGGAACUCCGAGUGUAGAGGUGAAAUUCGUAGAUAUUCGGAAGAACACCAGUGGCGAAGGCGGCUCACUGGUCCGGUACUGACGCUGAGGUGCGAAAGCGUGGGGAGCAAACAGG